rnacentral:rRNA from 1 species
UACGUAGGGGGCAAGCGUUAUCCGGAUUUACUGGGUGUAAAGGGAGCGUAGACGGAAUUGCAAGUCUGAUGUGAAAAUCCGGGGCCCAACCCCGGAACUGCAUUUGAAACUGUUAUUCUAGAGUAUGGGAGAGGUAGGUGGAAUUCUUGGUGUAGGGGUAAAAUCCGUAGAGAUCAAGAGGAAUACUCAUUGCGAAGGCGACCUGCUAGAACAUAACUGACGCUGAUGCGCGAAAGCGUGGGGAGCAAACAGG